GGAUCCGUGGUGUAGUGGUUAUCACACUUGCUUUACACGCAAUAGGUCCCCGGUUCGAACCCGGGCGGAUUCA